UACGGAGGGGGCUAGCGUUGUCCGGAAUUACUGGGCGUAAAGCGCACGUAGGCGGCUUUGUAAGUUAGAGGUGAAAUCCCAGAGCUCAACUCUGGAACUGCCUUUGAUACUGGGUAUCUCGAGUAUGGAAGAGGUGAGUGGAAUUCCGAGUGUAGAGGUGAAAUUCGUAGAUAUUCGGAGGAACACCAGUGGCGAAGGCGGCUCACUGGUCCAUUACUGACGCUGAGGUGCGAAAGCGUGGGGAGCAAACAGG
rnacentral:rRNA from 1 species